UACGUAGGGGGCUAGCGUUGUCCGGAAUCAUUGGGCGUAAAGCGCGCGUAGGCGGUCAGGUAAGUCCGGUGUGAAAGUCAAAGGCUCAACCUUUGAAUGCCGCUGGAUACUGCCUGACUUGAGUCCGGAAGGGGCGAGUGGAAUUCCUGGUGUAGCGGUGAAAUGCGCAGAGUAUCAGGAGGAACACCUGCGGUGUAGACGGCUUCUGGACCAUAACUGACGCUGAGGCACGAAAGCGUGGGUAGCAAACAGGG
rnacentral:rRNA from 1 species